rnacentral:rRNA from 1 species
AUUGAACGCUGGCGGCAGGCCUAACACAUGCAAGUCGAGCGAGCGGCGGACGGGUGAGUAAUGUAUGGGGAACUGCCUGAUGGAGGGGGAUAACUACUGGAAACGGUGGCUAAUACCGCAUACUAUCGGAUGAACCCAUAUGGGAUUAGCUAGUGGGUGGGGUAAAGGCUCACCAAGGCGACGAUCCCUAGCUGGUCUGAGAGGAUGAACAGCCACACUGGAACUGAGACACGGCCCAGACUCCUACGGGAGGCAGCAGUGGGGAAUAUUGCACAAUGGGCGCAAGCCUGAUGCAGCCAUGCCGCGUGUAUGAAGAAGGCCUUAGGGUUGUAAAGUACUUUCAGCGGGGAGGCGUUACCCGCAGAAGAAGCACCGGCUAACUCCGUGCCAGCCGCCGCGGUAAUAC